GCAAGCAGUGAACUGCGCAUGCGUCACCUUCUAAACGUAAACAACUUUGUUGUGGCCUCGCCCUAGUGCAAUGGACAUUUCGCUCCACCCUCAACUCUGAACGAAUCUGAUCAAACCCAGCCUAAACCGCAAUUGAUUUUAGCCUUCCACAUUGAUUCACUAAUAGUCUCGCCCCUAUUUUAUAUCCUGAUUUUGUGGAUCUAACCCGAAACAGACCAUGUUGCAGGUGAACCGUUUGGUGCUUCAGUAUCAGAACUGUUGCCAUUACUCGUCUCGAAUUACACCCAAGUCUGCUGCCGCUCUGAUUUCCUCGUCCGGGCAUCAUCAGGGUGGUUUCGGGACUCUCAUGCCCUCAGCUCGAUCGUUCUCGUCGAAGACCGACCAACCGAAUGACAACGAUGGCAAAACUGGCCCCGUCGAAGGAGGGCAAAGGUCGAACGACUACCGUAACAAGCACGGGUCCCCCGAUCGGGCCGACUUGCUAGGACGUCCAUUCGCUAACCGUGACAUCGAUAACAGAUGGCAGGGUUUACUGCACGACCGUGGGCAAGCCAACGACUCCACCAUGGGCUUUCCAUCCUAUUCGGGCCCGGUUGUGAGCCUGCACUCUGCUAUGCAAUCUAACGUGCCGAAACCCUACUUUCCUAAUGACAGAUCUUCGUUCCCAACUCAUAAUAAUAUGCCUGGUGGGGGAGUAAGCGGCCAGCAAAAGUUUCUGUACGGCGCUUUGCACAGCACCCACCCGAGUAACCAGAAGAGAGAAGAGACCUACCCGGUUAAAUUCGCCGUCCCUGUCCAUGCAACAACCGAAGCGGAAACACAAAACCAACCAGUUUCAAUUGAGUAUCAGGAAACGGAGCAAAGCGGGUUCGAUACCAACAACCGAAAUCAGACCGUAUACGAAAAAGGAGACGAAAGUGAUAUGAGUGUGUCUCAUGUUCAAGCCAGUGCCUCGGCACCCUCUAACGCUUCCCAGGUAUAUGCUAGUAGUAUUAAUAAGCAAGAUAGUCUUCAGAAUACCAAUUUUACCAGGUAUUUUAGCCACGGUAGCUCGGUGGCUACACAACCAGAGGUCACCUAUGUUUCACCGUGUCCUCAAGGAAUUCAAGGUAACGAUUGCGUUUACUUCCAACAGUGGAUGGAGAGCUGCCUCAGGUAUGGCCUGACCAACUGUGAAGAACAGCUGGAGAAUUUAAAGGCCGGUCGGAAAACUCUGCAGCAGGUACUUGAUGAACAACAGAAAAUUAUUGAAGAAGCUGCUAUAAAUAUCAAAAGCAAGACAUCUUUGAACCGGGCCACGACGACCACCACCUCUGCCGCCAUCGCUCAGAUUGUCACGUCUGUCGCACUGCACUCAGAUAUUGAAGAGCACCUUUUGAACAAGCAUCGGUCGGUUUCAGAUAAUUACCAGAAGCAUCACCAAGAUUUCAAAGACGAGCAGAAAGCAGUGGAACCAGCGUUGAAGGGCCAGGUGCAGACGGCGCUAAACCGAAUCAGGACAGUCUCUUUGCGGCCGCAACAACUGCAGUAUCACCUUCAUUAUCAUCAUCAUCAUCACCAUCAGCAGCAGCAACAACAACAACAGAGGACAUUCUCGACAUCAAACUGGUUCUCAAAUUCCAAAGGGCCCAUCACCCCAGAAAACAAAACAGAAACGCAUCAAACAUCAACCACAACUCCAGCCCCAGAUACUGCCCGUGGUACCAGCGAAGCCCCUCUCGAACUAACCCGCAGACAACAACUACAAAGAGCUGUCAAAGAGUAUGGUUCCACUGUCAUGGUUUUCCAUAUCACGAUCUCCCUCAUGUCUCUUGGCGGCUUUUACCUUGCAGUCUCCAGUGGAAUAGACCUGGUCGGCCUUAUGAUGAAACUUGGCAUCGGUGAAAACAUUUUGAAAUCAAGGCUUGCCACAGGGGCCAGCACGUUUGUCGUUGCAUAUGCCGUUCACAAAGUAUUCGCUCCAGUUCGUAUAGGCAUUACAUUGAGUGCAACCCCACUUAUAGUGAAGUACCUUCGACUUAAGGGCAUAUUAAAACCACCAAAACCAAAACCAAUCUCAAAAUAAAACCAUUUGUAUUAUUGUAAUAUAGAUACGCUGAUAUGUAUUAUACACCCGAAUAUGUAUAUUUAUAUAUAUAUAUAUAUAUAUAUAUGUCU
rnacentral:misc_RNA from 1 species